rnacentral:rRNA from 1 species
AGAGUUUGAUCCUGGCUCAGGACGAACGCUGCGGCGCGCCUAACACAUGCAAGUCGAGCGAAUGAAGUUCCUUCGGGAACGGAUUUAGCGGCGGACGGGUGAGUAACACGUGGGCAACCUGCCUCAUAGAGGGGAAUAGCCUUCCGAAAGGGAGAUUAAUACCGCAUAAGAUUGUAGUACCGCAUGGUACAGCAAUUAAAGGAGCAAUCCGCUAUGAGAUGGGCCCGCGGCGCAUUAGCUAGUUGGUGAGGUAACGGCUCACCAAGGCGACGAUGCGUAGCCGACCUGAGAGGGUGAUCGGCCACAUUGGGACUGAGACACGGCCCAGACUCCUACGGGAGGCAGCAGUGGGGAAUAUUGCACAAUGGGGGAAACCCUGAUGCAGCAACGCCGCGUGAGUGAUGACGGCCUUCGGGUUGUAAAGCUCUGUCUUCAGGGACGAUAAUGACGGUACCUGAGGAGGAAGCCACGGCUAACUACGUGCCAGCAGCCGCGGUAAUACGUAGGUGGCGAGCGUUGUCCGGAUUUACUGGGCGUAAAGGGAGCGUAGGCGGAUUUUUAAGUGAGAUGUGAAAUACUCGGGCUUAACCUGAGUGCUGCAUUUCAAACUGGAAGUCUAGAGUGCAGGAGAGGAGGAGGGAAUUCCUAGUGUAGCGGUGAAAUGCGUAGAGAUUAGGAAGAACACCAGUGGCGAAGGCGCUUCUCUGGACUGUAACUGACGCUGAGGCUCGAAAGCGUGGGGAGCAAACAGGAUUAGAUACCCUGGUAGUCCACGCCGUAAACGGUGAAUACUAGGUGUAGGGGUUGUCAUGACCUCUGUGCCGCCGCUAACGCAUUAAGUAUUCCGCCUGGGGAGUACGGUCGCAAGAUUAAAACUCAAAUGAAUUGACGG